rnacentral:tRNA from 1 species
GGAGAGAUGUCUGAGUGGUUUAAGGAGCACGCUUGGAAAGCGUGUGUAUGUGAAAAUGUACCGAGGGUUCGAACCCCUCUCUCUCCGCCA